GGGGAUGACUUGGUUUUGACUGCAAGGUCGAUUGAGCUGUAAGCAUGUCGAGCAAUGAAUAAGUACUCGUAAAAAUCAUUUUCAAAACUUUAAACGGCGAGAAUAACUACGCUUUAGCUGCAUAAUCCGAAUCACAGUAGGAUUGGCCUAGUUCCACAAGGUGGAAAAGCUUUAUGUCUCUCGAUAGCCUUGGUUAACGGCGCUCGAAUUUUUGACAUCGUAAAAGUCAACAUAGGAAUAUGAAUGUCAUGGUUAUAUUCCGAAACUAAAAUGAAUAAAUUUUAAGUGGGCGGUUUUUGGUCAGCUUAUUAUCGAAAAUUAAUCAAAAACUACGCAUGUAGAAAGCACUUUAAUUGCUUGUUUGGACGAGGGUUCGAGUCCCUCCAUCUCCACA
rnacentral:tmRNA from 1 species